rnacentral:rRNA from 1 species
AGAGGGUGCAAACGUUGUUCGGAAUUACUGGGCGUAAAGCGCGUGUAGGCGGCGAUGCAAGUCGGAUGUGAAAGCCCUCGGCUCAACCGGGGAAGUGCACUCGAAACUGCAACGCUAGAGUCUCGGAGAGGAUCGUGGAAUUCUCGGUGUAGAGGUGAAAUUCGUAGAUAUCGAGAGGAACACCGGUGGCGAAGGCGGCGAUCUGGACGAUGACUGACGCUGAGACGCGAAAGCGUGGGGAGCAAACAGGAUUAGAUACCCUGGUAGUCCACGCCGUAAACGAUGGGUGCUAGGUGUCGCGGGCUUUGACCCCUGCGGUGCCGCAGCUAACGCAUUAAGCACCCCGCCUGGGAAGUACGGCCGCAAGGCUA